rnacentral:rRNA from 1 species
AAAAACAUCGCCUCUUGCAAAAUCAACAAAUAAGAGGUCCCGCCUGCCCUGUGACUAUAUGUUUAACGGCCGCGGUAUUUUGACCGUGCGAAGGUAGCGCAAUCACUUGUCUUUUAAAUGGAGACCUGUAUGAAUGGCACGACGAGGGCUUAACUGUCUCCUUUCCUAAGUCAAUGAAAUUGAUCUCUCCGUGCAGAAGCGGGGAUAGACCCAUAAGACGAGAAGACCCUAUGGAGCUUUAGACACUAAAACAGCUCAUGUUAAAAACCCUCACAAAAGAGGCUAAACUAGAUGACCUCUGUCCUAAUGUCUUUGGUUGGGGCGACCACGGGGCAACAAAAAACCCCCGCGCGGAACAGAAACAUUGUUUCCAGAACCAAGAGCACCCGCUCUAAGUAACAAGACCCACUUGACCUUUGAGAUCCGGCGUUGGCCGAUCAACGGACCGAGUUACCCUAGGGAUAACAGCGCAAUCUUCUUCGAGAGUUCAUAUCGACGAGAAGGUUUACGACCUCGAUGUUGGAUCAGGACAUCCUAAUGGUGCAGCCGCUAUUAAGGGUUCGUUUGUUCAACGAUUAAAGUCCUACGUGAUC